rnacentral:rRNA from 1 species
AGGAAUAUUGCUCAAUGGGAGAAAUCCUGAAGCAGCAACGCCGCGUGGAGGAUGAAGGGUCUAUGACUUGUAAACUCCUGUAAAGAAGGAAAAAAUUCCCAUUAGAUGGGAGAUGAUGGUACUUCUGGAGUAAGCCCCGGCUAACUACGUGCCAGCAGCCGCGGUAAUACGUAGGGGGCAAGCGUUGUCCGGAUUUACUGGGUGUAAAGGGUGCUCAGGCGGAAUUGUAAGUCAGAGGUGAAAUCUUACAGCUUAACUGUGAAACUGCCUUUGAUAAUGCAAGCCUAGAGUAUGGAAGAGAGUGAUGGAAUAUCUGGAGUAGCAGUGAAAUGCGUAGAUAUCAGAUAGAACACCAAUGGCGAAGGCAGUCACUUGGUCCAUUACUGACGCUAAAGCACGAAAGCGUGGGUAGC